CUGAGGUGGGAGGAUUACUUGAGCCCAGGAGUUUGAGGCUGCAGUGAGCCCAGAUUGCACCACUGUCCUCCAGCCUGGGUGACAGAGCAAGACCCUUUCUCAAAAAAGAAAAAGAACAUUCUGGAGAGACAGAGGAGCAAGGGGAACCAGAAAGGGCUCCGUGGAAUCCUGGAAUCUGCUGCCAGGCCAGGCCAGGCCUCCGGAGGCGCCUCUGCACCCCUCCCAGGCUCCCCAGCUUUGCCCAGGCUCUGGCCUGUCUCUAUCUCUCUUGUUUGUCUCUGCAUACCUCUCUCUGUCCCCCACAUCCUCCAUCUGCAGGGGUCUCCUGCACCCCUCAACUCACCUUGGGUCAGUCCCUGGGCGCCUCUCCCUCCUAGAGCCACUCUUCCUGGUGCCAGACUAAGAGAUGCAGGCUCGGAAGGUGCAGGGCAGUCUGCCUUUCAGACAUAGAGGCCGGGCCUCGGAUGAAGGCGGAAGGGAGGGCACCGCCUGUUGCUGAGCAACUGUGCCCCAACUCGCCUGCCCCCGGGGAGUGUUUGUUUCCAAAGCAACCCAAGGGGAUGUGGUCACUGCGACCCUGCACUUGAUGGAUCAGCUGGCACCGCCCAGAUCAAUAAACUGGCUCAUCUGGUCCUGUGGCCCCCACCCAGAACUGACUGCAAGAAGACAGCUCCGCCUCUCCAUGAUUUCAUCUCUAACCAGUCAGCAUUCACAGCUCACUGGCUCCCCGCCCAUGCACCAAGUUGGCAGUGGCUCACUGCCCCAUCUCUACUACAAAUACAGGUGGCGUACACCUGUAGUCCCAGCUACUCGGGAGGCUGAGGCAGGAGAAUUGCUUGAACCUGGGAGGCGGAGGUUGCAGCGAGCCGAGACUACACCACUGCACUCCAGCCUAGGAGACAGAGCGAGAUUCCUCCUCAAAAAAAAAAAAAAAAAAAAAAAAUCUGUAUCUCCUGAGUUAUCAAGAAAUUACUCAUAUGUUUAAGCUUCUUACUUAGGUGAACACCUGAUUGUCACAGGCUAUAAAAAUGAUUAACAGGGAAGUAACCUGAAAUAAUGACUAUCCUUCCCUAAUAUCUCAGUUUUCAUAAAUAAUCUAGGGAAACUGUUAAAAAUAAACUAUGUGAUGGAUAAUUUCUUAUAAAUAAAUUUUUCAUGUAAUUUUAAAUAUUCUAUUAUGUUCUAUUAAAUUAACUAUUAGAUAUUCAUUAGAUCUGUGGAUUAUUUCCAAGUAAGAAGAAAUAA